UAAAGACCGAUAAUCAUUCUCAGGAGGCGUCUCAGAAUCGGAGGGUGAUUUCAUGGGGAAUAACAGACAGAGUGAUUGAUAAUCUGCCUCGUAUUCAAAUCUGACAGCUUUUCUUUUUCCCGCCUCAGCCGAAAGAGGGAAAUCGAGGGAAGGAAAAGCGGAUAAGAAGAGAACGGAGCUGGCUGGCUGGACAUGUACGCGGGUUUUAUCAGACGGGCAGCGAUUCGGUGAAAACAGCAGGAGGAUAUGAGGUCAAAGGCGUCCUCCCCCCACGAAGAGCAGAGGCUGUUUGAAGCCUUGCGGGCGGAUGUGGGGAGGUCUGAGUCCGCAGCCGGUAUGAGAGCGUGUGAAUCCGCCAGCACGCUCUCCUUUAAUAUUUAACGCCAUUAUUAGCUGGAGCACAGGCCCGCCCCCCCAAGCUGCACUGCACCGUAUGAAUAACUAAUGAGCCCGAUUAUGCUAAUCAGCAGAACCAUGGCGCACUGAUGACCUGGAGCAUUCCGACCGCCUGCCUCUGAGGGUCCGCUUCUUUCAUGAUUGUUGUGUUUUGUGCGCUCUUCCCAUCUGCGUUAGGCAGAAACGCAGACUGCCACGUCCGUGCAGGUCACGGCAAAGUCAGCUUGGGUUGCGACCAGCCUCACAGCCCCCCUCCAUCCCGGUGUUUCACCUGUGCUGCUCAACCUCCAGGACAGAGGAAGCGGCUCGGCGUGAGGCAGAUGACCCAGGUGCGAAGGCGCGGCUCAGCUGCAUCAGAGAGCUCCGGAUGUGUAUUUUGACCCUGCGAUAAAAGCGUGCUCACGGAGAGCCAUGCGGAGCGCGAAUGGGUCACGUACGGCUGUAUUCUGCCGCCAUCUCCAGCAGUCCCGCCACCCCGGCACCAUAAAGAAUUCCAACGAGACAAUUUUGCGGCGUGGCGGCGGUGGCAGCGAAGCGAGGGGCUGACAGCGGCUGUUAUUAAAGCGCGGGCACUGACCGACCGCUUUCAGAGUUAUUAAAGUGCCGCAGGAUUGUGUCUGUGAUAGCCUGCACCAGGCGGCCCCCGGCCGCAGUGUCCUUCACACAGGAAUCUGGAGUGAUAAUUUGAGAUAUCCAUGAGAAGUAUCCAGUGCUUCUUCUAGUCAAUAAGGAAGACAUUUUAGAGCAGUAAAAUUUGGUAGAGUAUAUACCAAAGAACAUCCCUGUUUGGAUGGAGAAACAGCAGUGAUUUAGAUGAGUGGUGCGUACUCUGAUGGUAUAUUGUCUAUUUCAGAUGAAGGCUGGUCUGAAGAGAGAGAGAUGACCUACAGAUGGCGUGAUGACCCACAGACACUGUAACAGAAGAUAGCACUACACACACACAGGCACACACACAUACAGACGAACACACACAGAUACACGCAGACACACAUACAGACAAACACACACAGACACACACAUACACAUACAAACAGACAGACACACCCACAUACAGACAGAAACACAUAUACUGUACAGACACAGACUCACACACAUACGGACACACACACAGACACACACAGACUUGCACAAAUACAGACACACAGACAGACAGACAGACAGACACACAGACAUACACACACACACAGACACACACACACACACACACACCGACACACACAGACACACACACACACACAGACACACACACAGACAGACACACACACACACAGACACACACACAGACACACACACAGACACACACACACAUGCCAGUUAGGAGGGCGACUGACCUUGUGCCACCACUGGUAUUUUUUUUCUCUUGUUUCAAACUAUGGAGUUUUGUUUUCUCUCCACUGUCAUGUUCCAGCUUUUAUUUGCUGUAGAUUUAUACUGCUGUUGCUCAAAACUGGGGAUUGUCAGUAAUCUGCAUUAUUGUUAGGAGUUUGGGGUAAGUUCAUGUCAUGAAGUUCAAGGCUGUGCAGGUCUGACUACACUAGACCACAAGUACCAGAAUUCCAUGGUUUCAGCAUUCCGUUAUGACCCCCAGGUGACUUCGAUAACACCUAGCACCUAACACAAAUGGAAGGUAUUGCUAGUGGUUUGAUUCUUUGAGUUUUUAAGUUGGGCGGGGGGGGGGGAGGGGCUGUUGCAUUCUUUCCAUCUGCCACUUUUGGACUCUUAAUCUGUUUCGUUUUCAGGCUGACGUGGCAGCAUGGGGAGCCUGCAGCCCGUCUAUUCAUCAUCAAAACUGGAAGUAACGAGGACACCUACAGUUUGCCGUAUUACAUCAGUCUGCACUCGGUAACUGCUGUCCUUAACAGAGUCUACACAGUUUUGUUGGAGAUGACCACUGGACCACUGGUGCAGACCAAAGAGCACAGAGAUGUGCGAAACGCAGACCACCGGCACGCAGACCAUGCCUGGAAUGGAGAAGACCUCCCAUGGAUUGUUCUUGUGAGGCUUUUGGUCUACCCAGCACCAACAGAAAUAAUAAAAUAUCUAAUACUAUCCAUCUAGCUCAUGUUCCUCAGACACCUCAAAAAUCAGUACUCAGGAUCAAUGACGCUGAUUGUCCGAACAUAUCGACACAUUUUACAAAGUGGCAAAAAAUAUCGAUGUGUGAAUUCCCACAGUUCCAUUGUUCCUUCAUUUCUCUAGUCUUCCGUGCUGAAACAUUUGAAUGAUGCUACAGUGAACUGUAUGAAUUGCAUAAUAAAUAAAUGCUAUAGAAAUCA